rnacentral:rRNA from 1 species
UUCCGGUUGAUCCUGCCGGACCUGACUGCUAUCAGAUUGAUACUAAGCCAUGUUAGUCAUUGUAGUAAUACAAGGCAGACGGCUCAGUAACACGUAGUCAACCUAACUUAUGGACGGGGAUAGCCUCGGGAAACUGAGAAUAAUACCCGAUAGGUCAUGAUGCCUGGAAUGGUUUAUGACUCAAAUGAAUGUCGCCGUAGGAUGGGACUGCGAGCUAUCAGCUUGUUGGUGAGGUAAUGGCCCACCAAGGCUAUAACAGCUACGGGCUCUGAGAGGAGUAGCCCGGAGAUGGGUACUGAGACAAGGACCCAGGCCCUAUGGGGCGCAGCAGGCGAGAAAACUUUGCAAUGCGCGAAAGCUCGACAAGGUUAAUCUGAUUG